rnacentral:rRNA from 1 species
UGGGGAAUAUUGCACAAUGGGCGCAAGCCUGAUGCAGCCAUGCCGCGUGUAUGAAGAAGGCCUUCGGGUUGUAAAGUACUUUCAGCGAGGAGGAAGGCGUUGUGGUUAAUAACCGCAGCGAUUGACGUUACUCGCAGAAGAAGCACCGGCUAACUCCGUGCCAGCAGCCGCGGUAAUACGGAGGGUGCAAGCGUUAAUCGGAAUUACUGGGCGUAAAGCGCACGCAGGCGGUCUGUCAAGUCGGAUGUGAAAUCCCCGGGCUCAACCUGGGAACUGCAUCCGAAACUGGCAGGCUAGAGUCUUGUAGAGGGGGGUAGAAUUCCAGGUGUAGCGGUGAAAUGCGUAGAGAUCUGGAGGAAUACCGGUGACGAAGGCGGCCCCCUGGACAAAGACUGACGCUCAGGUGCGAAAGCGUGGGGAGCAAACA